rnacentral:misc_RNA from 1 species
AAGAACUCAACACAGGAAGAUCACUGCAAGUGCUGAAUACUUGAUUGCUAGAAAAGUUAUAGCUCCGGCAAGUUUGAGCAAAAGAUGAAGGAACACAUAUGGAGAUAAGCAUGACACAAGAGAACACAACAGUUCUCGAAAAUUUAUCCAUGGUUAAUCAAAUAAUGAAAAAAGGAUAUGAUCAAUUGCAGAGAUGUCUCGAUGGAUUGAGAGGGAACAAGUUCUCAGUAUGUGGGUAUGUGCUAAAAUUGUUUCCUGACGUG